AGUGUUUGGGUCAUCAUUACACACACACACACAUAUAUAUAUAUAUAUGUGUGUGUGUGUAAUGAUGACCCAAACACU